rnacentral:rRNA from 1 species
AUGUGGUAUCUCCGUAGGGGAGUUGUGCUAACAAAAGACAACCUUGCAAGAUGCAACUGGUCGGGAAGUAAGAAGUGUUGUUUUUGUACUCACGACGAGACGAUUAAACACCUCUUUUUUCACUGUAAGUUUGCGCGUUCUACGUGGCCAGCCAUCCAAAUAGCGUCAAAUUUGUAUCCGCCCACAAGUGUUGCCAAUAUUUUUGGUCAUUGGCUGGACGGUAUUUCAAAUAGGUACAAAACGCUAAUAAGGGUGGGAGCGUAUGCCUUACUAUGGUCGCUUUGGCUAUGUAGAAAUGAUGUUGUUUUUAAUGACAAAACUGUUUCGCCUUUGCAGGUUAUUUUCCGUUGUACGCACUCGCUUCGUACGUGGUGUACGCUACAACGA